rnacentral:rRNA from 1 species
ACGAACGCUGGCGGCGCGCCUAACACAUGCAAGUCGAACGAGAGAUGAGGAGCUCGCUCUUCAAAUCGAGUGGCGAACGGGUGAGUAACGCGUGAGGAACCUGCCUCAAAGAGGGGGACAACAGUUGGAAACGACUGCUAAUACCGCAUAAGCCCACGGCUCGGCAUCGAGCAGAGGGAAAAGGAGCAAUCCGCUUUGAGAUGGCCUCGCGUCCGAUUAGCUAGUUGGUGAGGUAACGGCCCACCAAGGCGACGAUCGGUAGCCGGACUGAGAGGUUGAACGGCCACAUUGGGACUGAGACACGGCCCAGACUCCUACGGGAGGCAGCAGUGGGGAAUAUUGCACAAUGGGGGAAACCCUGAUGCAGCGACGCCGCGUGGAGGAAGAAGGUCUUCGGAUUGUAAACUCCUGUUGUUGAGGAAGAUAAUGACGGUACUCAACAAGGAAGUGACGGCUAACUACGUGCCAGCAGCCGCGGUAAAACGUAGGUCACAAGCGUUGUCCGGAAUUACUGGGUGUAAAGGGAGCGCAGGCGGGAGAACAAGUUGGAAGUGAAAUCCAUGGGCUCAACCCAUGAACUGCUUUCAAAACUGUUUUUCUUGAGUAGUGCAGAGGUAGGCGGAAUUCCCGGUGUAGCGGUGGAAUGCGUAGAUAUCGGGAGGAACACCAGUGGCGAAGGCGGCCUACUGGGCACCAACUGACGCUGAGGCUCGAAAGUGUGGGUAGCAAACAGGAUUAGAUACCCUGGUAGUCCACACCGUAAACGAUGAUUACUAGGUGUUGGAGGAUUGACCCCUUCAGUGCCGCAGUUAACACAAUAAGUAAUCCACCUGGGGAGUACGACCGCAAGGUUGAAACUCAAAGGAAUUGACGGAA